AUUGAACGCUGGCGGCAGGCCUAACACAUGCAAGUCGAACGGUAACAGGAAGCAGCUUGCUGCUUCUCUGACGAGUGGCGGACGGGUGAGUAAUGUCUAGGAAGCUGCCUGAUUGAGGGUGAUAACUACUGGAAACGGUAGCUAAUACCUCAUAAUGUCGCCAGACCAAAGAGGGUGACCUUCGUGCCUCUUGCCAUCGUAUGUUCCCAGCUGGUCGUCGAUUGUUGGUGGGGUUACGGCUCACCAAGUCGACGAGUCCUCCCCGGUGUGAGAGGAUGCCCAGCGACACUGGGAGUGAGACACGGUCCAGACGACUAAGGGAGGCAGCAGAGGGGAAUAUUGGACAAUGGGCGCAAGCAUGAUGCAGCCAGGCCGAGUGUAUGAAGAAGACGUUCGGGUUGUAAAGAACGUUCAGCGGGGAGGAAGGGAGUAAAGUUAAGACCUUUGCUCAUUGACGUUAACCGCAGAAGAAGCACCGGCUAACUACGUG
rnacentral:rRNA from 1 species